rnacentral:lncRNA from 1 species
AUUGUCUGAGAAAAUCUCUGUGGCUUGUGCUGCGGUCUGCUUGGACUGUUCUCCAGAUGGUUCCUGUUGUUGUUAUUCCAAGAAAACAAAUAUAGGCUAUUGUCCUUCAGUGAUUUAUACUACAUUGAAUUACACUUCAUAGGGCACACAGCAAACUUACUAAGAUGUCCUCUCCUAGUCUCCUUGUAAAGCAACAGGCAGAGGCUGAAGAGUCUGAUUCAGCUGAAGAGGCUGAAGUAUUUCCCUAAUUUUAUUUUUUCAUUUCAGCUUUAAACACAUCCAUAGUUCUGUUUGCUCUUUAUUUUAUAGAAACCUUUCAGUGUAUUCAGUAGCUUACUUUUACUGUGCAAUGUUAAUCAUGGUGUGAAUGAGCAUAGCUAUUACUUGAACCUCUGUUUCUCUCUGAAUUCUUCGUCGUCUUAGGGAUAUGAAGCAAAUCUUUACCAAGUGUUCUGUGGAUAAAGUCAAUCCUAGAAAUUAAAAAUCCAGAGAUAAGAGAGGUUAGAAACUAAGGUAAAAUAAGCAAGCAAAAUGUGACGUAAGCCUGAUGUUUUGGAGAGAAUGUUUGUCCCUUCUUCUAAAGUACAGCUGCUGCUUUCUCUUAGAGACUUACUUCCUCUGAAACUGAGAAUAAGGGAUAUGGAAGCAAAGAACUUCGGAGAUACUUGUGUUCAUCUUGCUGCAACAAUUAUCUUUGGGUGAUUCACGUAUCAUGUUCUGUCAUUUAAUAACUCCAUGGAUGCGCAAAGAAAACCCUCAGAGAACCGUGGGCUGGGCAGCACGUUUGCAUGUCCAUAUAUCUGCACAUACACAGCCAUGAGAAACGUAUUGAUUCCACUUGGCAGAAAAGAGGGAGAUGUGCUUGAUAUUUCUUGAAAUAGUUAAAAGCUUUUGUAUGUGAAUUGCUUUAUACCUAGGUCUGAGUAUCUAAUUGAAAUUCAGAUGUAAUGCGCACAGAUUUAGAUUGCUCAGAUCCCUUUGUUUGGACUGCAUUGAAAGCUAUUAUACCUAAUCCAGCCACUUCAUCAGAACAGCUAUUGUAGGUCAUUUUUUCUACUUUUCAUUUGAAAAUUCUCAGUAGUGGUUAAAUCAGUAAACAUUGUGAUUUUGGUAAGCAUUUUCCCCUUGAUCAACACUAAAUUCAUUUUUAGAUAUUCAUUCUCUAUAUUAGAGCAAGUACCUGAGGAAAUUAAAUAAAUGCAAGAUGUUACUUUCUGCUAUUUUCCA